CAUGUGGGGCAAGCGUUGUUCGGAAUUACUGGGCAUAAAGGGUGCGUAGGUGGCUUGUUAAGUCAGGGGUGAAAGUUUUCGGCCCAACCGGAAAUGGCCUUUGAUACUGGCGAGCUCGAGUGCGUGAGGGGUAACCGGAACGAGCAGUGUAGCGGUGAAAUGCGUAGAUAUUGCUCGGAAGGCCAACGGCGAAGGCAGGUUACUGGUGCGCAACUGACACUGAGGCACGAAAGCGUGGGGAGCAAACAGGAUUAGAUACCCUGGUAGUCCACGCCGUAAACGAUGAGCACUAGGUAGGUGCCGAGCUAUUCGGUGCCUGCCGCAGGUAAUUUGGUAAGUGCUCCGCCUGGGGAGUAUGGUCGCAAGGCUG
rnacentral:rRNA from 1 species